AUUGAACGCUGGCGGCAGGCCUAACACAUGCAAGUCGAGCGGAUGAAGGGAGCUUGCUCCUGGAUUCAGCGGCGGACGGGUGAGUAAUGCCUAGGAAUCUGCCUGGUAGUGGGGGAUAACGUCCGGAAACGGGCGCUAAUACCGCAUACGUCCUGAGGGAGAAAGUGGGGGAUCUUCGGACCUCACGCUAUCAGAUGAGCCUAGGUCGGAUUAGCUAGUUGGUGGGGUAAAGGCCUACCAAGGCGACGAUCCGUAACUGGUCUGAGAGGAUGAUCAGUCACACUGGAACUGAGACACGGUCCAGACUCCUACGGGAGGCAGCAGUGGGGAACAUUGGACAAUGGGCGAAAGCCUGAUCCAGCCAUGCCGCGUGUGUGAAGAAGGUCUUCGGAUUGUAAAGCACUUUAAGUUGGGAGGAAGGGCAGUAAGUUAAUACCUUGCUGUUUUGACGUUACCAUCAGAAUAAGCACCGGCUAACUUCGUG
rnacentral:rRNA from 1 species